rnacentral:rRNA from 1 species
CAAUAGCGUAUAUUAAAGUUGUUGCAGUUAAAAAGCUCGUAGUUGAAUUUUUGCUUGCCGCCGAUGUCGGAACUUCCGUACGUUCGGCGGCGUGCAUCCUUGGGUGGAACCUGUGUGGCAUUAGGUUGUCGUGCAGGGGAUGCUCAUCGUUUACUGUGAAAAAAUUAGAGUGUUCAAAGCAGGCUUACGCCGUUGAAUAUAUUAGCAUGGAAUAAUAAGAUAGGACCUUGGUACUAUUUUGUUGGUUUGCGCACCGAGGUAAUGAUUAACAGGGACAGUUGGGGGUAUUCGUAUUCCAUUGUCAGAGGUGAAAUUCUUGGAUUUCUGGAAGACGAACUACUGCGAANGNAUUUACNAAGGAUGUUUNCAUUA